rnacentral:rRNA from 1 species
GACGAACGCUGGCGGCGUGCUUAACACAUGCCAGUCGAACGGAAAGGCGCGGCUUUUGUGGGGCGCUCGAGUGGCGAACAGGGGAGUAAAACGCGAGGAACCUGCCCUUGUCUUUCUGAUAACUUCAGGAAACUGGGGCUAAUAUCCGGUAGGAGCUCCUGCUGCAUGUGGGGGGUUGGAAAGUUUCGGCGGUUGGGGAUGGACUCGCGGCUUAUCAGCUUGUUGGGGGGGUAGUGGCUUACCAAGGCUUUGACGGGUAGCCGGCAUGAGAGGGUGACCGGCCACAGUGGGACUGAGAUACGGACCAGAACCCAACGGGAGGCAGCAGUGGAGAAUAUUGCAAAAUGGGCGGAAGCCUGAUGUAGCAACGCCGCGUGCGGGAUGACGGGCUUCGGGUUGUAAACCGCUUUCGCCUGUGACGAACCGUGAGUGACGGUAAUGGGUAAAGAAGCACCGGCUAACUACGUG